GGGUUGUGAGGUUAAGCGACUAAGCGUACACGGUGGAUGCCCUGGCAGUCAGAGGCGAUGAAGGGCGUGCUAAUCUGCGAUAAGCGCCGGUAAGGUGAUAUGAACCGUUAUAACCGGCGAUACCCGAAUGGGGAAACCCAGUGUGAUUCGUCACACUAUCAUUAACUGAAUCCAUAGGUUAAUGAGGCGAACCGGGGGAACUGAAACAUCUAAGUACCCCGAGGAAAAGAAAUCAACCGAGAUUCCCCCAGUAGCGGCGAGCGAACGGGGAGGAGCCCAGAGCCUGAAUCAGCAUGUGUGUUAGUGGAAGCGUCUGGAAAGGCGCGCGAUACAGGGUGACAGCCCCGUACACAAAAGCGCAUGUGCUGUGAGCUCGAUGAGUAGGGCGGGACACGUGGUAUCCUGUCUGAAUAUGGGGGGACCAUCCUCCAAGGCUAAAUACUCCUGACUGACCGAUAGUGAACCAGUACCGUGAGGGAAAGGCGAAAAGAACCCCGGCGAGGGGAGUGAAAAAGAACCUGAAACCGUGUACGUACAAGCAGUGGGAGCACAGGUUUACCUGUGUGACUGCGUACCUUUUGUAUAAUGGGUCAGCGACUUAUAUUCUGUAGCAAGGUUAACCGAAUAGGGGAGCCGUAGGGAAACCGAGUCUUAACCGGGCGUUAAGUUGCAGGGUAUAGACCCGAAACCCGGUGAUCUAGCCAUGGGCAGGUUGAAGGUUGGGUAACACUAACUGGAGGACCGAACCGACUAAUGUUGAAAAAUUAGCGGAUGACCUGUGGCUGGGGGUGAAAGGCCAAUCAAACCGGGAGAUAGCUGGUUCUCCCCGAAAGCUAUUUAGGUAGCGCCUCGUGAACUCAUCUCCGGGGGUAGAGCACUGUUUCGGCUAGGGGGCCAUCCCGGCUUACCAACCCGAUGCAAACUGCGAAUACCGGAGAAUGUUAUCACGGGAGACACACGGCGGGUGCUAACGUCCGUCGUGAAGAGGGAAACAACCCAGACCGCCAGCUAAGGUCCCAAAGUCAUGGUUAAGUGGGAAACGAUGUGGGAAGGCCCAGACAGCCAGGAUGUUGGCUUAGAAGCAGCCAUCAUUUAAAGAAAGCGUAAUAGCUCACUGGUCGAGUCGGCCUGCGCGGAAGAUGUAACGGGGCUAAACCAUGCACCGAAGCUGCGGCAGCGAACGUAUCACUUAAAGCGAUUCAGCGGGUUACGAUUGACGGAGCGAAGCGACGUCAAAGCGUAUACAAAGUCGAGUCGGUUUAAGGAUACGUUCGUUGGGUAGGGGAGCGUUCUGUAAGCCUGUGAAGGUGGCCUGUGAGGGUUGCUGGAGGUAUCAGAAGUGCGAAUGCUGACAUAAGUAACGAUAAAGCGGGUGAAAAGCCCGCUCGCCGGAAGACCAAGGGUUCCUGUCCAACGUUAAUCGGGGCAGGGUGAGUCGACCCCUAAGGCGAGGCCGAAAGGCGUAGUCGAUGGGAAACGGGUUAAUAUUCCCGUACUUGGUGUUACUGCGAAGGGGGGACGGAGAAGGCUAUGUUGGCCGGGCGACGGUUGUCCCGGUUUAAGCGUGUAGGCUGGUUUUCCAGGCAAAUCCGGAAAAUCAAGGCUGAGGCGUGACGACGAGGCACUACGGUGCUGAAGCAACAAAUGCCCUGCUUCCAGGAAAAGCCUCUAAGCAUCAGGUAACAUCAAAUCGUACCCCAAACCGACACAGGUGGUCAGGUAGAGAAUACCAAGGCGCUUGAGAGAACUCGGGUGAAGGAACUAGGCAAAAUGGUGCCGUAACUUCGGGAGAAGGCACGCUGACACGUAGGUGAAGUGAUUUACUCACGGAGCUGAAGUCAGUCGAAGAUACCAGCUGGCUGCAACUGUUUAUUAAAAACACAGCACUGUGCAAACACGAAAGUGGACGUAUACGGUGUGACGCCUGCCCGGUGCCGGAAGGUUAAUUGAUGGGGUCAGCGCAAGCGAAGCUCCUGAUCGAAGCCCCGGUAAACGGCGGCCGUAACUAUAACGGUCCUAAGGUAGCGAAAUUCCUUGUCGGGUAAGUUCCGACCUGCACGAAUGGCGUAAUGAUGGCCAGGCUGUCUCCACCCGAGACUCAGUGAAAUUGAACUCGCUGUGAAGAUGCAGUGUACCCGCGGCAAGACGGAAAGACCCCGUGAACCUUUACUAUAGCUUGACACUGAACAUUGAGCCUUGAUGUGUAGGAUAGGUGGGAGGCUUUGAAGUGUGGACGCCAGUCUGCAUGGAGCCGACCUUGAAAUACCACCCUUUAAUGUUUGAUGUUCUAACGUGGACCCGUAAUCCGGGUUGCGGACAGUGUCUGGUGGGUAGUUUGACUGGGGCGGUCUCCUCCUAAAGAGUAACGGAGGAGCACGAAGGUUGGCUAAUCCUGGUCGGACAUCAGGAGGUUAGUGCAAUGGCAUAAGCCAGCUUGACUGCGAGCGUGACGGCGCGAGCAGGUGCGAAAGCAGGUCAUAGUGAUCCGGUGGUUCUGAAUGGAAGGGCCAUCGCUCAACGGAUAAAAGGUACUCCGGGGAUAACAGGCUGAUACCGCCCAAGAGUUCAUAUCGACGGCGGUGUUUGGCACCUCGAUGUCGGCUCAUCACAUCCUGGGGCUGAAGUAGGUCCCAAGGGUAUGGCUGUUCGCCAUUUAAAGUGGUACGCGAGCUGGGUUUAGAACGUCGUGAGACAGUUCGGUCCCUAUCUGCCGUGGGCGCUGGAGAACUGAGGGGGGCUGCUCCUAGUACGAGAGGACCGGAGUGGACGCAUCACUGGUGUUCGGGUUGUCAUGCCAAUGGCACUGCCCGGUAGCUAAAUGCGGAAGAGAUAAGUGCUGAAAGCAUCUAAGCACGAAACUUGCCCCGAGAUGAGUUCUCCCUGAGACUUAGAGUCUCCUGAAGGAACGUUGAAGACGACGACGUUGAUAGGCCGGGUGUGUAAGCGCAGCGAUGCGUUGAGCUAACCGGUACUAAUGAACCGUGAGGCUUAACCUUACAACGCCGAAG
rnacentral:rRNA from 1 species